UCUCUCAUUUAUAUUCUUGUACAACUCUGAGACUGCUAAUGCUAUGUAUUUUUUCGGUUUGUUCUUUCUUGCAAGGAAAAGCUUACCUCUUCAUUUAUAAGUUGACUCUUUUCAACAAUAAUAACAUGAUGAAAGCUUUUACUGGAAAAGAACAAAGAGUUAAUUUUUUUCUGGCUGGCCCCAAGUGACCCCUUGUUCCCACUGCCUUUGAAAUUAUUAGAGUUUGCUUAGCCUGAAAAAUUACAGCUAUAGGAAAAGUUAUGCUUCACUGAUCUAUUUUAAAAAGGAACAGCAGAAUUUUAAAAAUAGAAUCCCAAUUUUUUUUUCUGACUGUGGCAUCUCCAACCCAAGUAUGUUGAUGCAAUUUCCAAAGCACUGAGAAAUGUCUUAGGUCACAUUUAAGUUGGGUCAGCCAAAUCCAGGAUCAGUGAAAAAAUGAGUUGUUCAUCUGGUCUGGAAUGAGAUCUUUCUUCCCAUCAUUCUUAGUUAUAAAGAUAUCUUUUGUGUGGUUGAUGCUAAAUUUAAGCCCAGGCUGAGUGUAUUUGUGUACUAUCUAUGCGUGUUUUAUGCAUCAGCAGCACACUCUGUUACUAGUAGGCUGCACACACAAUUAGGGCUUUAUGAUCUUUGAAGUCAGUUAAUACAAAGAUUUAUAUAUUUGCAGCAAUAAAAGUCUGGGAAGUAAUGGGAAUAGAUGUUUCUUAGAGCUACAGUCUGAUUCUCUUUUGACUUGUGUUGGUUUGGCUCCAUUGUCUUCAGUGGAGUUAUUCCUCACCCUGAUUUGAGCACCAGAAGAAGAGAAGAAGAAAAUCCAUCCCUGAAUGUAUGCCUAGGGAAGUCUGUCUUUAUAGAGCUUGCUUUUCUUUCAGACCACAGCCCUGGGCAGGGGAAAGCACCAAAAGAGAGAGCUGACUCUGCCAUGGAAGUUAAACAUGCAGCAUGUUUCUUCUACUGAACAACUCACAGCAAGAAUGGGACUGAGCCUGGCUCUGGUGACUGAUGCCCUGAAGGGGCGAGCCUGGCCCUGUUGCGGAGCUCCCAAAGGGGCUGGUUUGCCUGGGGGGCUCCUGCCUGCUCACUGGUGAUGCUCCAACAGCCAGGUGGAAUGGAGGUCAUGCCUGGGCACAGGAGUGAAAGUCACAUUCAGAGAAGCAUGGAUUGAAUGAACAUAACGGAUGGUGGAAAACAAAGCACAGUCAAACCCCUGUCUUUUUGCAAGUUCUGUACAAAAUUCUACUUCUGACACCGGGAAAUGCUUUCUCCUGUUGUUCAAAGUGACUCCAGAUGCUGAUGUACUUAGUGCACAGCGCAAGUAACUCGACUGGAAUGAAAAAGCAAGGAGCAAGUCAAUGCCCGUAGCAGAGCAGACAUACAAGGCACGUGUGAGGGAAGAAGCGACUAUGGCCAACGUUCAGUGCAUGUUGGAAAUACAUGAAAGAAAAGCAGAAAAGAUGGGAGAAUCUGUGAGAAGAAGCGACAAGGUAAUAUUCAGUCUUGUGGUCUGGGAGGAAACCAGGGAAUGUGUCUCUGAGGAAAACAGAAAUUAAGAGCCUCUUCAGCUGAGCUCUGGGUGGCAGGAGUUGGUGGGGACAAGCAAGGGAACUGCCUCCUGCUGCGUCUGAGGAAACAGUCUUGUAACUGACUCGGGAAAAGUG